GCAGAACACAAAAGCAACUGCAUUGUGUGGAAGCUAUUUUAAACCAAAGGAACAAAUGGAUUUGUGAUAGGCCUACUUAAACCAGCGCCCCCCACCAGGGUCGACAGAAGCGUCCGAUCCCACGCGUCGGCCUUGACCCGUGACAAUCACUUCACUCCAGACCAGUUUCAAACAAAUUGAGCUGGUGGAGUGAUAAAACUUAAACCAGAUGCUGUGCCAACCAGUUUUGGUGAUCGUAAGCUACCAGAGGGAUGUAAAGCUCCUGCUGAGAGGAAACCUGUCGGCCUACUAGAGAAACGAACUGAGGAUACCGAGGUUGGAGAGCCUUCAAAUGUGACCAAUGACAUCAGUCCUGCAGAGAACUUGGACACUACAGAAGAUGAUGUCCCCACCCUGAAGAACCUAGUACAACAGCUUCAGGCUGGAAUUGAAGCUUUAGAGGGAA